rnacentral:rRNA from 1 species
CCCGCUCAGAAACUUAAGGAAUUGACGGGGGCCCGCACAAGCGGUGGAGCAUGUGGUUUAAUUCGAUGAUACGCGAGGAACCUUACCUGGGCUCAAAUGUAUGUUGACGUAUUCUGAAAGGGAUACUUCUUCGGACAAUAUACAAGGUGCUGCAUGGUUGUCGUCAGCUCGUACCGUGAGGUGUCGGGUUAAGUCCCAUAACGAGCGCAACCCCUAUCAUUAGUUGCCAUCAGGUCAAGCUGGGGACUCUAAUGAAACUGCCUACGCAAGUAGUGAGGAAGGUGGGGAUGACGUCAAAUCAGCACGGCCCUUACGUCCAGGGCUACACACGUGCUACAAUGGCCGAUACAGAGGGCAGCUACCUGGUGACAGGAUGCAAAUCUCCAAAGUCGGUCUCAGUUCGGAUCGGAGUCUGCAACCCGACUCCGUGAAGUUGGAUUCGCUAGUAAUCGCGCAUCAGCCAUGGCGCGGUGAAUACGUUCCCGGGCCUU